rnacentral:rRNA from 1 species
UACGUAGGGGGCGAGCGUUGUUCGGAAUCAUUGGGCGUAAAGCGCAUGUAGGCGGUUAGUUAAGUCUGAUGUGAAAUCCCGGGGCUCAACCCCGGAACUGCAUUGGAAACUGGCUAACUAGAGGAUGAGAGAGGAGAGUGGAAUUCCUGGUGUAGGGGUGAAAUCCGUAGAUAUCAGGAGGAACAUCGGAGGCGAAGGCGGCUCUCUGGCUCAUUUCUGACGCUGAGAUGCGAAAGCGUGGGGAGCAAACAGG